UUCAUGGCGCGGGUUCCUCAAGCCCUGA
rnacentral:piRNA from 1 species